rnacentral:misc_RNA from 1 species
GUGAAUCAUCGAAUUUUUGAACGCAAAUUGCACUCCCUUCGGAGAGUAUGCCUGUUUGAGGGUCAGCCUAAAAAAAAAAAUGAAAUAGUUGCUUUUUUGCGGUUAAUUUUGUCGGAACUUGGGUUAUUUUUAUUCUUUUGGUUUUAAUGGGCUUUAAUUUUUCUUUAUUGUUUUCGCACCUUUUUAAAGGAUUUUUUUUUUUUUUU